rnacentral:rRNA from 1 species
GAUGAACGCUGGCUACAGGCUUAACACAUGCAAGUCGAGGGGAAACGACGGGGAAGCUUGCUUCCCCGGGCGUCGACCGGCGCACGGGUGAGUAACGCGUAUCCAACCUGCCUCUGACUGAGGGAUAACCCGUCGAAAGUCGGCCUAAUACCUCAUGGCAUCGUCUGCGGGCAUCCAACGACGAUUAAAGAUUUCAUCGGUCAGAGAUGGGGAUGCGUCUGCUUAGCUUGUUGGCGGGGUAACGGCCCACCAAGGCGACGAUCAGUAGGGGUUCUGAGGGGAAGGUCCCCCACAUUGGAACUGAGACACGGACCAAACUCCUACGGGAGGCAGCAGUGAGGAAUAUUGGUCAAUGGGCGAGGGCCUGAACCAGCCAAGUAGCGUGCAGGAUGACGGCCAUAUGGGUUGUAAACUGCUUUUAUGCGGGGAUAAAGUGAGGGACGUGGCCUUCAUUGACGGUACCGCAUGAAUAAGGACCGGCUAAUUCCGUG